rnacentral:sRNA from 1 species
AUGGACCUUCAUGAAAUUGACCAUAACUUUUAUUAUCUACAUGUUAUUGACUUAUUUAGCAGAUUGAGUGCAGCUGCAAUCAUCAGAAGAAAGGACUCUAAAGUCAUUGUAGAUAAGUUCAUGCAGAUAUGGGUUGGCGUUUAUGGUGCACCUGAAGUUGGUGUUUACACAGAUAAUGGAGGUGAAUUUAAUUCACAGAUAUUUAGAGACAUGGCAGAAAACUUGAACAUGUCAGUUAAAACAACAGCAGGAUAUAGUCCGUGGUCCAAUGGUGUAGUGGAAAGACACAACGCAACGCUUACAGAAACAAUCAAUAAAAUGAGAGAGAGCUCUAACCUUUCAUGGGAGACUUCCGUCAGUUGGGCAGUUCAUGCUAAGAACAGUUUGUUGAAUGUCUAUGGCUACAGUCCAUAUCAAAUAGUUUUUGGAAGGAACCCAAACAUGCCAUCAUCUAUAGUUAACAAGCCUCCUGCAUUAGAAGGUACAACAAUUAGUAAUGUUAUGGGAAAGCACUUAGUUGGCUUACAUGAAGCUAGAAAAGCAUUUAUUGCGGCAGAAUCCUCUGAGAAAGUAAGAAGGGCACUACGUAAGCAAAUCCGGCCUUCAGGAGAAAAAUUCAAAAAUGGUGACAAAGUUUUCUUCCUACGAGACAAUCAGUGGAAAGGACCAGGCUGGGUAAUUGGUCAAGAUAACGUAGUUGUUUUUGUAAGAUAUGGAGGUACAUAUGUGCGUGUACAUGAAAGUAGAAUAAAAAGAGACAUUGAUGUUGAAAGAAAACAAAAGAUUAUUCAUAAGCAUACAGCAAAGUCAACUCCUGUGCGUAAGCCGCAAGCUGCAACAUAUAACAACACUGAACCAGAUCAUGACUUAGUAUACUAUGAGAGUGACGAUGAAGAGCCUCAUCAAAAUGAUACUGAGAAUGAUGAAAACCAAGAAAAUGUUGAGGAAUCUGCAGACGAAAGUGCUGAUCAAGAUGAUAAUCAUGCUGGUAGCUUGAAUGGUAGUUUGAAUGGUGAAGAUAGUCCUGAAUCUGAAGGGAGAGACAGUUUUGAUUUGGAAAAUCAGGCAGAGAAUGAUAUACAUGAGGAAAGUAUGGAACAUAAUCCUGGGUCACAGGCAAAUGAUUGUAUGAAAUUAAAGAAGGAUCAGAUAGUGAAUUUCAAAAUCCCUGGUGAAAAUGACACAAGAGAAGCAAUAAUUUUAGGCAGGGCAGGAAAGGCUACAACUGUUAAAAAGAGCUGGUACAAUAUAGAAUACAAUCAGCCAGAAAAUAUGAGAGGUGAUCAGAUAUCAAUUGAUCUAAGAACAGUCAAUGAUUUGAAAGUUGUUAACCAGUCAGAUGACGUGAAUGAAGAUGUACUUUUAAGUGAUAUUGAUUUUACUGAGGCUAGAGAGGCAGAACUGGAUAACUGGAACAAGCACAAUGUUUAUGAAGAAGUUGAAGACAAUGGUCAAAACUGUAUUUCAACAAGAUGGGUUUAUACUAUGAAAGAAUUAGAGAACGAAUUUCAUAGAAAAGCUAGAUUGGUAGCAAAAGGUUUUGAAGAAGACAGCCUAGAUGAGAUACCAAAGAAUUCGCCAACAUGUGAAAAGCAGUCUCUACGACUAAUUUUAUCAAUUAUUGCUAGUAAAAGAUGGUCAAUUAAUUCAGUGGACAUUAAAACUGCUUUCCUUCAAGGAGAGAAAAUGCAAAGAGAAGUCUACUUAAGACCUCCUAAAGAAGCUAAAGCAACUGGUAAAGUCUGGCGCCUUAACAAAUGUGUAUAUGGUCUUGUUGAUGCAUCCUUAAAGUGGUACGAAAAAGUUAAAGCAACAUUGCUAGAUUGUGGAGGAACAGUGUCCAAAAUUGAUUCAGCUGUAUUUUAUUGGUAUAAUGAAAAAGGUUUGACUGGUGUCCUAGCAGUUCAUGUAGAUGACUUUCUUUGGGCAGGAUCCAGUGCCUUUGAGAAAACUGUUGUGUCCAGAAUUAGGGAUAUGUUCAAGGUAGGGAAAGAAUCCUGUGAGUCUUUCAAAUAUUUGGGUCUUGACCUCAGCCAAGAAAAUGAAACUAUUGUUCUCAGCCAGCAAGACUAUGUCAGAAUGUUGAAGACUGUUUUAAUAGAUAAAGACAGAGUUAAAACAUCUCCUCUUUCAUCAUCAGAACAGACACUAUUGAGGUCAAAAAUAGGACAAUUAUUAUGGUUAGCAAGACAAACACGUCCAGACAUUGCAUUUGAUGUUGCUGCUAUUUCAUCAAAAAUUAAGUCUAGCACUAUUGAAGAUCUAAAGAAAGUCAAUAAAAUAAUUAGGAAGGUGCAAAACGAUCCCGUUUCACUGCAAUUCCAGAAUCUUGGACAUAAUGUGAAAUUUAUUUUGUUCAGUGAUGCAUCAUUUGGAAAUCUUCCAGAUGGUGGAAGUCAGGGUGGUUAUGUUGUGCUUUUGAUGGGCGAUGAUGGUAAAGUGAACCCAAUCACUUGGCAAUCUAAGAAAUUAAGAAGAGUUGUACGUAGUACUUUAGCAAGUGAAGCCUUGGCCUUAGCUGAUGGUGUGGACUGUGUUAUAUCUUUAGCAGCUCUGUUUAAGGAAUUAAUGCAUAAUGAGAACGAUUUGAUGCAUACUCCAGUAGAUUGUUUCGUUGACAACAAAGACCUUUAUCAUGCAAUAUACUCUGAUAAACCUGUUGGAGAAAAGAGAUUGAGGGUGGAGAUCAAUGCAAUAAAGCAAUUGCUUCAAGGUGGAGAGCUUAAAAAGUAA